UUUUUACCGAGUUCGGUAAUUCGAUUCAUGUUGUACCGAAGUUCUUGUAUUUUUAUGUAAACAAAUCGCUUUGCCGUAAAUUUUCGGUAAAAAACAACCGAAAACUGUAAAUCAGUUUCGAUGUCAAUACAAACGUCAAAUUCCGAUCGUCCGUUUCUCAGCGCAACUGUCUCACUCUAAUAACCGCGAUGUAUGAGUGGCAUUGGUGGCAUCCCGCUUGAGCUGUAGAAAAAGAAGCAAAAACAUUUCCAAUUCUGUAUGCGCGAGCGGGAUGCUUUCAAUCAAGCAGUAAAAUUUCGGUAUCGCGGUUGUAAGGGGCCGGUCUGUGCUUUUGACGUGAAUAGCUAGGACCAGUUUUGCGAAGCUGAAUUAGGUUCGGUUGAAGAUGAAAGUGUUGUGUGUUGUCUCGAUUUUAAUGAUGAUGGAUUUCGAGAAUCCGGACGGAUCACUGCGCCGCGACGGAAGAAUCUUUCUCCUAAGGACAUCGGACAAUGAACGUUUUUAAAUACAAGAUCCCGCAGCACAUGAAGCCCUGCAAGGAAAACCUAAACCCCACCACCACUACCGGAUAACAAGUGCCUCAGUUAUCCAGCGAGCUAGAAAUUUUCCGGAAUCAGCUGGUGCGGUGUACUCCAAUGAGCUACACACCAAAAAUUUUGUAAAAUUAAACGUGCCAGAAACGUUUCAACACCUAAUACUUUUUUAAUCUAAUCCAAAUCAGAUUUAAUUUUACAUCACGUCGAACCUAAACGACCCAAAUUUGAGCUUCGAAUGAUAUAAAAUUAUGUCCCUAGAAACGCAAUUUCAAUAUUGAUAAUAUAAGCGUGUAAAUGUUGAUGAAUUUGUUUUGUUUUGUUUCGGGUCGCGUUUUACUUCGGUUUACUUCAGUGCAGUGGUGUAAAAAAGUGGCACGGGAGGAGCGAAUGAUUGCCGUGUUUUUCCUUCAAGUGACCAACUACACGGUAUCUGGAUCAGCAGCAGGACAUCAAGCACCCAAAGGUCGGAACGAAACUACCGGCGACAAUCCGUUGAAAGCGGCAGCAUCUGAUCGAAAAUCAACCAAUCCAUCAUCGCCUGAACAGCGGCUGGUCGUUCCGUCGGGUUCGCAGAAGGAAAAAAAAGUGAACCAAUCGGUGAUCCCACUCCGAAGAGAGGAAAGUGAUCGGCAGAGGAAAACACGACAGUCCCGAAGAUGAGAGAUAGUCGUAAGAAAAAGCAGCCCCACAAAAACCCUGCUUGAUCUCGUGCUCCCGAUUCCUGGUGAUUCGAUUGGUCUUGUCAACGCACAAGCUAAAGCGAUAACACCAGCAGCGCUUGGAAGACCGGUGCCCAGACGUCAGAUUGGCUCUCCUCAGGUCAGCGGCACGUCAGAUUAGAAGUAGCGAAAUCCGGAGAAACGGUUCCAGGAGACCUGUGCUGAACGGCAAUCAUCUUUGGAAGCCCGCACCGGAGCCGCCGUUGCUCUCGGUUGGAAGCGUCUCGCGGAACCUGUAUCCACCCAGGCCGCCAACGUUAGAGAAGAUCACCACAAAUCCGCGAUCAGAGCAUCCGAUAGGCAUAAAAGUUGGGAACUGAUUCCAACAGCACUCUAGGACACGACCGUCAGCAUUAGUCAUAGGAUGACACGUAAGCUAACCCUAUUUUGUUUAUAUUGUGUUUUGAAUAUGUAUACUUAUGAAAACCCAAAUCCUAAUAUCAAGCCUCUUUCAAAUUAGAUAUUGGGAUUGAAAAAAACUUUUAUUAAUACACCUAUCAAUUAUUGUAAUGCUAAAACGGUUAUUGCUAAUUUCAAUGUACUCUCGGUUCCCGUUUAGCGAGCAAGUACUAUGAGUUAACGGAUUUAGGUUACCAGAGCUAAACGUUUCCUAGCAAAAUCCUCACAAGAAAAAAGCCAAAUAUUUUAAACAUUCUAUUCAACCCUAAUACGAGAAGUAUUUUUUUUAAACUGAUGUCUUAAGUCGUCUGAAUAUAGAGCUCAAUUAUAAGAAUUAAAAAAAAAAUACAUUGGUUUAUUCAGUUCUACAAUUGUUUCUAAAUUGCCAGUUUUUUUUAUAUACAAUGGCAAUAACAAUAUAAUCUACACAAAAAAUAUAUCAUAACGAAAUUUCACGAUUUUCAUAUUAUAAAAACAUUGACUACACUGUAAUGAUACUUAAAAAAAUCCUUUCAAUUACCAUUGGAAGAACAAACGUGAAUUUACAGUUUUCAUGUUAAGGUAAACACGAAUUUGCAUGCAACACAGUUUAAUUUGAUGUUUUUUUGCUCAAGUUAGGACGGAUUAUAGAAUCGGUUAUUUAACGUUUUCAAUUUAAAGCAGAUUAAGUUUAAUCAAAUAUAAGCCAUUGCCUAUAUACAGGCGUCUAAGAUUAUCAGAGGAAUUUCGUUUGACUCAUUCGUAUGGAGUGUUUAAAUUUAGGAGUUUAAUUGAACAUAUUUUGGUGCAAUAAAUGUAUCCGCUUCAUUUUUGUUGGCAACAGAUUGUACUGUAUAAGAAACAAAUCUGCUAAUUAUAAAUAUUGAUUUGUUGUUGGAAGACAAAUUUUAAAAACUUUAAAAAAAAUUUCAAAUGCAAUGUUUAUAAGCAAUAAAGAUUUCCUAUUGUAGUGAAUUUCCCUAAAUAUUAAAACUAUGAAUUAAAGAGUUUUCUUCCGAUUAUUGAAAACACAACUUUUCGUGUCAACAAACGUCUUAAAUCUGAUCUUUUAUUUUCAAAGCCUCCUACAUAUGUCUAUAAAGAACAUUUUCCUCAUGCUAUCUAUCUUCUAUUUCAUUUUCACUCCUUUUUUUCAUUCGCUAUCAGUUUCAGUAAACACCGUUAUUAUUUUUUUUCCAUCUCUUUUCCACAUAAACUGUACUCAUUUCUAACGGUACAUGUUAGUUACGUUCAAACUGUACCUGUAAUUCAUUUUAUUUUUGCAUCUCAAUUCAAACUUCGCUCACUGUCUUCCUCGAUUUCUUUCUUUCAUUUUCUAUUCAUUGAUUUUUCUAAAUACCUUUCAAACCUACAUAUUUUCCCACUGAUUUUUUUAUGUCAUUUACUAGUGUUCUCUACACCUAUCAUAAAGUUAAUUUGGAAUAAACUUUAAAUUAUAAUGUAACUUUGAAAUAAAACUUGUUUACAACGGGUAUCGCCUCUGUUUUUAAUCAUGAAAGAUGACAUUUCCCAACAAUUUAUUUCAAUAAUAAUUCGAACGUUACACAACGCCAUAUAAUUUCUGUUGCUCCACCUUUGUGCGUCCAAUUUCACAUACAUUUAAAUCAUCGUUGAUUUAAUAUUUUGUCG